CAAAUUUGGAGCAGGCCCCUACCUAUGCUCGGACCUGCUCAGAAGCAGAGUAUUUUUAUUCAGGUCUCUGUGGAAAUUGUUCCUGUAAGCACAAAAUCUGCUCUUUGACUAGCUCCUAGCACUUCAAAGCCUGGGUUCGUGCCACAGGACAAAAUAGCUAUUGAGUGAGACAGGGAGCAAAAGCUUUCUGAAGCGAUGUUGCCAACAUGAUUCAAAACAACUAUGAAGGGACCAUCUAUAAAGCCUGGAGCAGGCAGAUGUUCAGCCUCUCCCAGGAAAGGAGGGCUCAUCAUGCAUAAUGGUUUCUGGAGAAGUCAAACUUCAUCACUCCAAACAUCCUGCCUUCCUCCUUCUUUCCCCCAGCUUUUAUUGCCGAGCACAACACUACAUGGUGUGGGACACCCUCUUGGAAACGUGUAAUUUUAAGAUCACAUGACAAACUUGGAGCACUCAGUCAGCUGACCUGAAGGUGAAGCAUGGG
ensembl:lncRNA